GUCGAGGAUCAUUCGCAAUGGGCGAAAGCCUGACGCAGCCAUGCCGCGUGAAUGAUGAAGGUCUUAGGAUUGUAAAAUUCUUUCACCGGGGACGAUAAUGACGGUACCCGGAGAAGAAGCUCCGGCUAACUUCGUGCCAGCAGCCGCGGUAAUACGAAGGGGGCUAGCGUUGCUCGGAAUUACUGGGCGUAAAGGGCGCGUAGGCGGACAGCUUAGUCAGAGGUGAAAGCCCAGGGCUCAACCUUGGAAUUGCCUUUGAUACUGGCUGUCUUGAGUUUGGGAGAGGUGAGUGGAACUCCGAGUGUAGAGGUGAAAUUCGUAGAUAUUCGGAAGAACACCAGUGGCGAAGGCGACUCACUGGCCCAAUACUGACGCUGAGGCGCGAAAGCGUGGGGAGCAAACAGGAUUAGAAACCCGAGUAGUCC
rnacentral:rRNA from 1 species